GGGUGCUAACGUCCGUCGUGAAGAGGGAAACAACCCAGACCGCCAGCUAAGGUCCCAAAGUCAUGGUUAAGUGGGAAACGAUGUGGGAAGGCCCAGACAGCCAGGAUGUUGGCUUAGAAGCAGCCAUCAUUUAAAGAAAGCGUAAUAGCUCACUGGUCGAGUCGGCCUGCGCGGAAGAUGUAACGGGGCUAAACCAUGCACCGAAGCUGCGGCAGCGACGCUGAUGCGUUGUUGGGUAGGGGAGCGUUCUGUAAGCCUGCGAAGGUGGCCUGUGAGGGUUGCUGGAGGUAUCAGAAGUGCGAAUGCUGACAUAAGUAACGAUAAAGCGGGUGAAAAGCCCGCUCGCCGGAAGACCAAGGGUUCCUGUCCAACGUUAAUCGGGGCAGGGUGAGUCGACCCCUAAGGCGAGGCCGAAAGGCGUAGUCGAUGGGAAACGGGUUAAUAUUCCCGUACUUGGUGUUACUGCGAAGGGGGGACGGAGAAGGCUAUGUUGGCCGGGCGACGGUUGUCCCGGUUUAAGCGUGUAGGUGUGUGUUCCAGGUAAAUCCGGUUCACUUUAACACUGAGGCGUGACGACGAGGCACUACGGUGCUGAAGCAACAAAUGCCCUGCUUCCAGGAAAAGCCUCUAAGCAUCAGGUAACAUCAAAUCGUACCCCAAACCGACACAGGUGGUCAGGUAGAGAAUACCAAGGCGCUUGAGAGAACUCGGGUGAAGGAACUAGGCAAAAUGGUGCCGUAACUUCGGGAGAAGGCACGCUGACACGUAGGUGAAGUGAUUUACUCAUGGAGCUGAAGUCAGUCGAAGAUACCAGCUGGCUGCAACUGUUUAUUAAAAACACAGCACUGUGCAAACACGAAAGUGGACGUAUACGGUGUGACGCCUGCCCGGUGCCGGAAGGUUAAUUGAUGGGGUCAGCGCAAGCGAAGCUCCUGAUCGAAGCCCCGGUAAACGGCGGCCGUAACUAUAACGGUCCUAAGGUAGCGAAAUUCCUUGUCGGGUAAGUUCCGACCUGCACGAAUGGCGUAAUGAUGGCCAGGCUGUCUCCACCCGAGACUCAGUGAAAUUGAACUCGCUGUGAAGAUGCAGUGUACCCGCGGCAAGACGGAAAGACCCCGUGAACCUUUACUAUAGCUUGACACUGAACAUUGAGCCUUGAUGUGUAGGAUAGGUGGGAGGCUUUGAAGUGUGGACGCCAGUCUGCAUGGAGCCGACCUUGAAAUACCACCCUUUAAUGUUUGAUGUUCUAACGUGGACCCGUGAUCCGGGUUGCGGACAGUGUCUGGUGGGUAGUUUGACUGGGGCGGUCUCCUCCUAAAGAGUAACGGAGGAGCACGAAGGUUGGCUAAUCCUGGUCGGACAUCAGGAGGUUAGUGCAAUGGCAUAAGCCAGCUUGACUGCGAGCGUGACGGCGCGAGCAGGUGCGAAAGCAGGUCAUAGUGAUCCGGUGGUUCUGAAUGGAAGGGCCAUCGCUCAACGGAUAAAAGGUACUCCGGGGAUAACAGGCUGAUACCGCCCAAGAGUUCAUAUCGACGGCGGUGUUUGGCACCUCGAUGUCGGCUCAUCACAUCCUGGGGCUGAAGUAGGUCCCAAGGGUAUGGCUGUUCGCCAUUUAAAGUGGUACGCGAGCUGGGUUUAGAACGUCGUGAGACAGUUCGGUCCCUAUCUGCCGUGGGCGCUGGAGAACUGAGGGGGGCUGCUCCUAGUACGAGAGGACCGGAGUGGACGCAUCACUGGUGUUCGGGUUGUCAUGCCAAUGGCACUGCCCGGUAGCUAAAUGCGGAAGAGAUAAGUGCUGAAAGCAUCUAAGCACGAAACUUGCCCCGA
rnacentral:rRNA from 1 species